rnacentral:rRNA from 1 species
UUCGAGCGGUGUGGCACCACCUCUUCCCAUUCCGAACAGAGUCGUGAAACACAUUAGCGCUGACGAUAGUUGUAGGGCAACUUACCGCGAAAAUAAGUCAUUGCCGGGG